CAAAACACAAAGAAAAACACAGCAACAUGUGGGAAGAGGAGCCAUGUUGCGAAUCAAAACAAAGUCAGGAAGUUUUGUGUGUGUGAGGUCUUUGUUGUUUUGAACAUUAUGUAAGCUGACAGGUUACCUUUGACGCACGUCUUGGCUUCUGGCAGAACAAUUAAGAAGUUAAAAAAAAAUGAGAUUCGCGAGUUGGACCAACUAACGUGUUCUUCGUCAACAAAGAUGCGGUCACAUCGGAUGCGGGCGGCCACACUACGCUUCCCUCUCCUUCUUCUUCUUGUCUUCUCUUCUCCCUCAACCGAGGAUAUGCAGCGGCCUUCUCGUCAGGCGCUGACCAAAGAACAGGAACCCUCCAGCAUUGUGCGCGACCACUGAGCCGGUUCCCGUCGAGCAAACAGGAAGUGACGGCGGCGCGGGGGAAAAAAUUGUCUAAAAUUAGGAGCUCCGGGAGCAGCGGAGAGCCCAGCGCAAGGACAACAACAAGGCCAUUAAGGAAAUACCUUCAUGUCCAAGCCAGGUUGACCCCGCUGACAUGACAUUUACCCUCAAGCCACAAGCCGAUUUUCAACUCACGCCUGAUGUCAGCCAAUCACGGGAGACUUCAGCUCAGUGAGUACUGCGAGGAUAACAGCCGCAAGUGCGUUUAGCUUUUUAAAGGCAAACUCACAAUUGCAGUAUUAUGCAAAAAAAACGUGUUUUACGUAAACAACAACUUUUCAACCGGAUCAUUUGAAUAAAUCAGCCGUGCAGUUCAUUGAGCUAUUGGGUUGGUGACACUUUGAACGUGCAGCAAAUUUUCAACAAGAUUUUUUCAUUCCCGAGAACAAAAGGCUGCUCAUGAGGGGGAAAUCACAAGUACACGUGCUGCUAUUGUACAAAUGGGCUGAGCUUGAGCUCAUUAAUUCAUGAGAAGACUUUUAUUAACUCUGGAUCUAAAAAAAAAAAAAAAUAGAAGGAAACUAAAGAGGCCAUAAUUACGUUUUUGAUCACUUUACAAUAAACUUACACCAGUGGAUAUAUCGAGGGGCAAAAAGUACUUAGUAUACUAAGUAUACGCGUGCGCGCGUGUGUGUGAGUGUGUGCGUGUGUUCUCACGUACCCCUCUGAAGUAGCGCUCAUCUGAGAAGAACGCGAAAGAAGACAUUUUCUUUUGCGGCCCGAAGAGAGACAAAGCGUAAACUUGAUUGGAAACAUCCAUUUGCUCACCUUGCGGGGGGCUGCCAUCCACCACCUGCCUGCAUGGGACGCCUCACUUAGGCCCCUCCUCGCUCACUUGCCUGCCAAAACCGCCAGCCGCCCCUCCACACAUCCAAAACAAAAACAAUUGAAGCAACACGCAACCCAACAAUUUCCACAACAAGUUCCACGUUGCGCUCAGAAAACGUCAAAAUAGAAGAAAAGCCUUCGAUGGUAGCUGGAUGUCAAAGUUUGGGUCCAAAAGUCCGCCACGCUGGAAGAAGAACAAGAAGAAAGAAAAGUGAGUCAACUGUCAAGAAGCCGAACGGCUCACGUCAAGCUAGAGGAAUUCUGGGGGAGACGCUUCCCAUACACAUUUUUACUCUUCACAAAAUAAGAGCUGCAACUGCAAAAAAACUUACCAAAUGGAAUUUUGACAUGUAAAUAUUUGCACAUUGUUUUGUACUUUUUAAAAAACAACUGGAAUUAUUUUAUGAAACAAAACAAAAAAAGCAUUCAAGAAAAUGAUGUCAAUAUUUCGUGGCAAUUAAAUGCCAAACAGGUUUUGAAAAAUUAAAUACCUACUUUUCUUUAAAAAUAAACACUGUACAAAAAGAAGGAAAUAGGCACUUUUAAAUUUCAGUAAGAAAUGCUUUAUUGGAACAAAAAUAAUUUCAUUCUUUCUAAAUUUUAAAUUAAAACUACCCCUAUUUCGACUUAAUUUUCUCAAAAUGAAAUUAGUUGAAAAAAAAAAUGCAAUUUCAAACUAAUUACUGUUGAAGAAUUCAACUAAAUAGCUGUGAUAAGUGUUACGAGAUGCCUUUUUUUAUUUCCUACAUUUAAGGUACGUACUAUAAAACAGUACUUGGCCAUUUAAUGCAUGAAAACAAAUCUAGAAAAAAAAAUAAAAUUAGAACACAUACCUCCGGCAAAAUGAAAAUAAAAAAUCUAUAUACAAGUGGAAAAUGCCGUGUUCCCUUUUUCACUUUUGUGCCCAAUUUCAUUCCAAAUGU